rnacentral:rRNA from 1 species
GGAUUAGAUACCCUGGUAGUCCACGCCGUAAACGAUGAGUGCUAGAUAUCGGGAAUUAAAUUUUCGGUUUCGCAGUUAACGCAUUAAGCACUCCGCCUGGGGACUACGAUCGCAAGAUUAAAACUCAAAGGAAUUGACGGGGGCUCGCACAAGUGGUGGAGCAUGCGGUUUAAUUCGAUGCUACGCGAAAAACCUUACCAACCCUUGACAUGGUGGUCGCGAGAGACAGAGAUGACUCUCUUCAGUUCGGCUGGACCACACACAGGUGUUGCAUGGCUGUCGUCAGCUCGUGCCG